rnacentral:tRNA from 1 species
GCCUGGGUGGCUCAGUCGGUUGAGUGCCCGACUCUCGAUCAGGUCAUGAUCUCACUGUUUGUGGGUUCGAGCCCCACGUCGGGCU